rnacentral:rRNA from 1 species
UACGUAGGGGGCAAGCGUUGUCCGGAAUCAUUGGGCGUAAAGAGCGUGUAGGCGGUUCGGUAAGUCGGCUGUGAAAUUUCGGGGCUCAACCCCGAACUUGCAGUGGGUACGGGCAGACUAGAGUGUGGUAGGGGAGACUGGAAUUCCUGGUGUAGCGGUGAAAUGCGCAGAUAUCAGGAGGAACACCGGUGGCGAAGGCGGAUCUCUGGGCCUGUCCUGACGCUCGAGGCGCGAAAGCCUAGGGGAGCAAACAGG